AUCUUAGACUCUUCUCUCGUUGCUGGUGGUUAUAGCAAACACGUAAAUUUAAAAUAUACUCAUAAUCGUACAAUUACAUAAUAUAUAUAUAAAAAAAAAGAAGAAUAACAUAUAAUUUACGUGGUUCAACUGUAAGAUCUACAUACAUGGACAAGACAGGAAGAAAAGUUUAAUUAUGAUAAAAAGAGCAAUAUACAAUCACUUUGAACUCUCAAACACUAACUCUACUAACCCUAGUAUAUUUCUUGAAUAUCUCACAACUUCCUGCAAAGGUUACAAUAUUUAUACUAGUUCAUAUAUGUGUCUUUUGUUACCACUAUAGACCUCAGUUUAUUCCAAUUAGGUAGCAGCACGAAACUUUCGGAUCUGGUUACGAUUAGAGCCCAUAAAGACAUAUCUAAAUUUCAAGCUACGUACAAAAUAACACUAGUGAAGUCAUAGACUAUCACAAAAGGAAUAGGCAGGGUUGUUUCAUUUUCAAAGUGAAUUUUGAGAAGGCAUUUGAUUCAGUAAAAUGUGACCACAUUGAUUUCACCUUGCAGUGCAUGGGGUUUGGACACUUUGCGGAUCUGGUCUUGUAUCUCUCAAUCGAGGGUCUCCAUUUUAACCAAUAGCAGCCCAUCAACUGAAACUCUCAUGAAGAACAGUUUGUGGAAAGUAGACCCACUAUUAUCAUUUCUUUUUAAUGUUGUUGUGGAACUUUUGUGCCUUUUGAUCAAAGUGGAGUGCGAUAAGGGUGAUCUCCAAGGUGUGUCGGUUGGUUCAAAUGGUUUGGCUAUUACUCAUCAACAGUUUGCCGAUGAUCAUUUUCUUUUGUCCAUCUAAUGUGGAGUCCAUUAUACGUAUCACCAGAACUCUACGUUGUUUUCAAUAUAUGGCGGGUCUAAAGGUGAAAUUUCACAAAAGUUAUCUUGAUGGUGUCAAUGUGGAUACAAGCAUGCUUGAGACGAUUGCUAAGUUGAGUUGUUGCAAAAUUGGUUCUCUUCCCAUAAAUUGCCCAGGUUUUCCUUUUGGAAUCAGUGCGAGACACCUAUUUGUUUGGCAUCCAGUCAUCCAAAAAAUUAAAAAUCAUCUGUCAUUUUGGAAAGGGAGGAUUCUUUCAUCUUCGAGGUGUUUAGCCUUAAUCAAGUUUUACCUAUGUAAUUUGCCUAUCUAUUAUCUAUCAGUCUUUAACAUACCAAAACAAGUAGUAAGGAAAAUUGAAAAGCUGAUGAAGGGAUUCUUUUGAUCCGACAGUGGGGAACCGUAAUAAAAUACAUUUGAUUACUGGUACAUUCUUAUGAAACCAAGGGCUAAUAGAGGACUUGCCAUAAGAAAUUUGCUGCUUCAAAAUCAAGCACUUUUAUUUAAAUGGCUAUGGAGAUUACAGAGUGAUCAAAACUCUCCUUAAGCUGCUGUUCUUCAAUCAAAAUGUACUUUCCAAUCCAAAAGUGGCAUUCUGUUGGCAAAUGGGC
rnacentral:misc_RNA from 1 species